UACGUAGGUGGCAAGCGUUGUCCGGAAUUACUGGGCGUAAAGGGCGUGUAGGCGGUUUGUUAAGUCUGGCGUGAAAGCUCUCGGCUAAACCGGGAGAGGUCGUUGGAUACUGGCAAACUAGAGGACGGUAGAGGCGUGUGGAAUUCCGGGUGUAGUGGUGAAAUGCGUAGAGAUCCGGAGGAACACCAGUGGCGAAGGCGACACGCUGGGCCGUACCUGACGCUAAAGCGCGACAGCAUGGGGAGCAAACGGG
rnacentral:rRNA from 1 species